rnacentral:rRNA from 1 species
UACGUAGGGGGCUAGCGUUGUCCGGAUUUAUUGGGCGUAAAGAGCGUGUAGGCGGCCAGGUAGGUCUGCUGUGAAAACUCGAGGCUCAACCUCGAGACGUCGGCGGAAACCAUCUGGCUAGAGUCCGGAAGAGGAGAGUGGAAUUCCUGGUGUAGCGGUGAAAUGCGCAGAUAUCAGGAAGAACACCCGUGGCGAAGGCGGCUCUCUGGGACGGUACUGACGCUGAGAGCGAAAAGCGUGGGGGAGCGAACAGGG